AGUGAACGCUGGCGGUAGGCCUAACACAUGCAAGUCGAACGGCAGCACAGUAAGAGCUUGCUCUUACGGGUGGCGAGUGACGGACGGGUGAGGAAUACAUCGGAAUCUACUUUUUCGUGGGGGAUAACGUAGGGAAACUUACGCUAAUACCGCAUACGACCUACGGGUGAAAGCAGGGGAUCUUCGGACCUUGCGCGAUUGAAUGAGCCGAUGUCGGAUUAGCUAGUUGGCGGGGUAAAGGCCCACCAAGGCGACGAUCCGUAGCUGGUCUGAGAGGAUGAUCAGCCACACUGGAACUGAGACACGGUCCAGACUCCUACGGGAGGCAGCAGUGGGGAAUAUUGGACAAUGGGCGCAAGCCUGAUCCAGCCAUACCGCGUGGGUGAAGAAGGCCUUCGGGUUGUAAAGCCCUUUUGUUGGGAAAGAAAGGCAGCAGGUUAAUACCCCGCUGUUCUGACGGUACCCAAAGAAUAAGCACCGGCUAACUUCGUG
rnacentral:rRNA from 1 species